rnacentral:rRNA from 1 species
UACGGAGGGUGCAAACGUUGCUCGGAAUCAUUGGGCGUAAAGCGCACGUAGGCGGCCGAUUAAGUCGGAUGUGAAAGCCCCGGGCUCAACCCGGGAAGUGCAUACGAAAUUGGUCGGCUUGAAUAUGGAAGAGGGUCGCGGAAUUCCCGGUGUAGAGGUGAAAUUCGUAGAUAUCGAGAGGAACACCAGUGGCGAAGGCGGCGACCUGGGCCAAUAUUGACGCUGAGGUGCGAAAGCGUGGGGAGCAAACAGG